AGGACGAACGCUGGCGGCGUGCUUAACACAUGCAAGUCGAGCGAAGUCCAACCUGUGGCAACACCGGGGAAGGCUUAGCGGCGAACGGGUGAGUAACACGUGAGCAACCUGUCCCGAAGACUGGGAUAACACCGGGAAACCGGUGCUAAUACCGGAUACCCCCAUCGGACCGCAUGAUCUGAUGAGGAAAUGAAUUUCGCUUCGGGAGGGGCUCGCGGGCUAUCAGCUUGUUGGUGGGGUAACGGCCUACCAAGGCGACGACGGCUAGC
rnacentral:rRNA from 1 species